AUGGAGGAUUCUCGCCUGAGUUCCCUCCAUCCAAACCUCCAGGUGGUUCUCCGCGCAGCCCACAAGCCUGCUACGACUAAGGCCUACGCCUACAAGAUCUCUCAAUUUCGUACCUUCCUUCGGUCCAGAAACAUCAACUCUAUCCCAACCCCGAUACCGGUGGUUCUGGACUUCCUCCUUACCCUUUUAGAGCAAAAGCUGUCUCUGGCCUCUAUGAAAUCCUAUCUAGCUGCCCUGUCUUGCUGUUUUCAGCAUCAUGGCCAGCCUUCCCUGUUUGCGGACCAUCUCAUAAAAACCUUUUUGAGGGGCUACAAUAACCUCUGCCCACCGACGCAGCCACCAAUACCUGGUUGGAGCCUCGAGCUCAUGUUGUCCCAACUCACGUCCUCCCCUUCCAAACCGCUGGCCUCAGUAGACCUCCAUUUGCUUUCAUGGAAGGUAGCUUUCUUGGUUGCAGCCUCUGAACUGGCGGCUCUUAGAGUGGACAAACCUUAUCUUCGCUUCCACCACAAUCGAGCUGUCCUCCGUCUGGACAUCACCUUUCUUCCUAAGGUGGUCUCUGCUUUUCACCUUAACCAAGACAUUGUGCUCUCGGCCUUCUUUCCUAACCCUUUGUCUCCACUGGAACGGAGACUUCACCUACUAGACGUUAGGAGAGCUCUUCAUUUUUAUAGGGAUUGGACUAGAGCAACACGCAAGACACCGAGACUCUUUGUUGCUUAUGCCCCGGACAAACUGGGUAACCCAGUUUUCUCCCAGAGGCUCUCCCACUGGAUUGCGCAAGCCAUUGAACUUGCUUACCAGCUGGCUAAGCGCCCUCCUCCUCCAUCAGUCCGCCCGAGAUCAAUGAGGGGCCUCUCUACCUCAACUGCCUUUCUCAUGGGCAUUCUUCUCAACUCUAUAUGCAAGGCAGAGAUCUGGUCAAACCCCUUAACGUUUGUCUCCCACUAUAGAGUGGACUCUAAGGCCCAAAGGAUUCAGCCUUCGCCAGAUCGGUCUUGUCUUCCUGCCUGUCUUAAGGGGCCCUGUUCCCCUUACGGAGCACUUACCCUCUGGUUAAAAAAAGAAAAAAAAGGAGAAACAAAAAUCACACCAGGUGUUGUUACUGGUUUAAAAUGUUUUAUUUCUGUUCCACGUUUUGAGGUUUACGAGAGUAUUCUGUAA
rnacentral:lncRNA from 1 species